rnacentral:rRNA from 1 species
AUUGAACGCUGGCGGCAUGCUUUACACAUGCAAGUCGAACGGUAACAGGGUGCUUGCACCGCUGACGAGUGGCGAACGGGUGAGUAAUGCGUCGGAACGUGCCGAGUAGUGGGGGAUAACGCAGCGAAAGUUGUGCUAAUACCGCAUACGUACUGAGGUAGAAAGUGGGGGACCUUCGGGCCUCACGCUAUUCGAGCGGCCGACGUCUGAUUAGCUAGUAGGUGAGGUAAAGGCUCACCUAGGCGACGAUCAGUAGCGGGUCUGAGAGGAUGAUCCGCAAAACGGGGACUGAGCCACGGCCCAGACUCCUACGGGAGGCAGCAGUGGGGAAUUUUGGACAAUGGGCGAAAGCCUGAUCCAGCGAUGCCGCGUGUCUGAAGAAGGCCUUCGGGUUGUAAGGACUUUUGUCGGGGAGGAAAUCCCCAGCGUUAAUACCGCUGGGGGAUGACAGUACCUGAAGAAUAAGCACCGGCUAACUACGUGCCAGCAGCCGCCGUAA